AUAUCAAUAAGCGGAGGAAAAGAAACUAACAAGGAUUCCCUUAGUAACUGCGAGUGAAGAGGGAAGAGCUCAAAUUUAAAAUCUGACAGUGUUGACUGUCCGAGUUGUAAAUUAGAGAAGUGUUAUCCAUGCUGAUCCUUGCAAAAGCUUCUUGGAACAGAGCAUCAUAGAGGGUGAUAAUCCCGUCUUUGGUACAGGCUGUUGGCUGUUUGUGAUACACUUUCAAAGAGUCGAGUUGUUUGGGAAUGCAGCUCUAAAUGGGUGGUAAAUUCCAUCUAAAGCUAAAUAUUGGCAAGAGACCGAUAGCGCACAAGUACCGUGAGGGAAAGAUGAAAAGCACCUUGAAAAGGGGGUCAAAAAGUACGUGAAAUUGCUGAAAGGGAACCGUAUGAAAUCAGCCUGUCCCUUUGGUAAUCAACCUGGACUUUGGUCUGGGUGCACUUGCCAGUGGGUACAGCCUGCGACAAUUUGAUUUGGGGGAAAAAAUCAGGGGGAAUGUGGCCUCGGCUUCGGUCGUGGUGUUAUAGCCCUUUGAAAAAUACCCUGGGUUGGAUUGAGGACUGCAGCGAGCCCUUUGGGGAUGAACUGUGGGCGCUUGGUUUGUGUUGGGGGAAAAUCUCUGCUUCGGGUAGUGUUUCUCCAGCAUGGGCCAACCCGCCUACUUUUUCUUUUUCUCGCUUAGGUCGCAGGCCUAAUGAUUUUAUAUGA
rnacentral:rRNA from 1 species